GUCCAAGCGGUAAACGAUGGGUACUAGAUGCUGGGGGUAUCGACCCCCCAGUGUCGCAGCUAACGCAAUAAGUACCCCGCCUGGGGAGUACGAUCGCAAGAUUGAAACUCAAAGGAAUUGACGGGGGCCCGCACAAGCGGUGGAGUAUGUGGUUUAAUUCGAUGCAACGCGCAGAACCUUACCUGGGUUUGACAUGCACGGGACCGGCGGUGAAAGUCGCCCUCUCCUUCGGGAGUCCGUGCACAGGUGCUGCAUGGCUGUCGU
rnacentral:rRNA from 1 species